UACGUAGGGUGCAAGCGUUGUCCGGAAUUAUUGGGCGUAAAGAGCUCGUAGGCGGCUCAGUAAGUCAGGUGUGAAAACUCCAGGCUCAACCUGGAGACGCCACCUGAUAUUGCUGUGGCUAGAGUCCGGUAGGGGAGCAUGGAAUUCCUGGUGUAGCGGUGAAAUGCGCAGAUAUCAGGAGGAACACCAAUAGCGAAGGCAGCUCGCUGGGACGGUACUGCCGCUAAGGCGCGAAAGCGUGGGGAGCGAACAGG
rnacentral:rRNA from 1 species